CACACCUGUGGGGACAGCCAGGCUUGGGUAUCAUGCUGUGCUGGGGGCACCCAGCUCUGCCCCGAGAGCUGUUCCUGCCCCCACGCACAGUGCCAGUGGGUGCUGUGCCCAGGGGACAGCCAGAGGCAGGUGCUGUGCCCGAGGGUAUGGGCAGGGCCAGGUGCUGUGCCCAGGGGACAGGUAGAGCCAGGUGCUGUGAACAAGGGACGGGCAGAGGCAG